rnacentral:rRNA from 1 species
AUACGUAGGUGGCAAGCGUUGUCCGGAAUUAUUGGGCGUAAAGCGCGCGCAGGCGGUCCUUUAAGUCUGAUGUGAAAGCCCACGGCUCAACCGUGGAGGGUCAUUGGAAACUGGGGGACUUGAGUGCAGAAGAGGAAAGUGGAAUUCCAAGUGUAGCGGUGAAAUGCGUAGAGAUUUGGAGGAACACCAGUGGCGAAGGCGACUUUCUGGUCUGUAACUGACGCUGAGGCGCGAAAGCGUGGGGAGCAAACAGGAUUAGAUACCCUGGUAGUCCACGCCGUAAACGAUGAGUGCUAAGUGUUAGGGGGUUUCCGCCCCUUAGUGCUGCAGCUAACGCAUUAAGCACUCCGCCUGGGGAGUACGGUCGCAAGACUGGAACUCAAAGGAAUUGACGGGG